UACUCAGUCGUAACCGUAAGUGACUGAAGCUCUAUAAGGAUCUUUUGGGUGAAGCGCUGCAUGGGAACUGAUAUAACUAUGCUGAGAACAUGUGACUAAGGCUUGGAAUAUAGCAAAUUCUGGGAAGAGGUAGAAAUUUCCAGAAAUGGAGAAUCAAAAGCUGAUUUCUAUUCAGGCAAAUCCACAAUGAUCCACAACUCCUAGAUUACAAAUGGAUGCUGUUCCAGCAAGAGAGUGGAACAGAGUGCUAAAAGUUUUUUUCAUUCUCUGAGAGCCAUUGAUAGGAGUUCUAGUAGCAAGAGGACUGGAUGUUCUUUCACAGUUAUCACUCUGUUUUGGCCUCCAGCUCUGCCCCAUGGAUAAUGAUGCUAAUAGAGAACCUGGCAGGUUGACUCACAUUAAAACAUGCUGGAUCCAUGAUCUCAUCAAUGAUUUUGACAUUCUUUACUUCUUGAUCAUGAAAUUACACAUUACAUUGGAUUUUGCUUCUCAAACCAACAUUAUGAGCAGCUAUUGGACGGCGAAGAGACUCAAAACCAUACCAUAUGAGGACUGGAUGAAGAAACUGAGGAAAUUUAGCCUCA